rnacentral:rRNA from 1 species
UAGAGUUUGAUCCUGGCUCAGGAUGAACGCUAGCGACAGGCUUAACACAUGCAAGUCGAGGGGCAGCGGUGGUGAAGGCUUGCCUUUACCAGCCGGCGACCGGCGCACGGGUGAGUAACACGUAUGCAACCUGCCUGCCACAGCCGGAUAAUCGGGAGAAAUUCCGUCUAAUACGGCAUAAUGCACCUAUGGGACAUCCUGUUGGUGCCAAAGGUUGAUUCCGGUGGCGGAUGGGCAUGCGUCGCAUUAGUUAGUUGGCGGUGUAACGGACCACCAAGACGACGAUGCGUAGGGGUUCUGAGAGGAAGGUCCCCCACACUGGUACUGAGACACGGACCAGACUCCUACGGGAGGCAGCAGUGAGGAAUAUUGGUCAAUGGGCGGGAGCCUGAACCAGCCAAGUCGCGUGAGGGAUGACGGCCCUAUGGGUUGUAAACCUCUUUUGCCGGGGAGCAAAGUGCCGCACGUGUGCGGUUUGGAGAGUACCCGGAGAAAAAGCAUCGGCUAACUCCGUGCCAGCAGCCGCGGUAAUACGGAGGAUGCGAGCGUUAUCCGGAUUUAUUGGGUUUAAAGGGUGCGUAGGCGGACGCUUAAGUCAGCGGUAAAAUUGCGGGGCUCAACCUCGUCGAGCCGUUGAAACUGGGUGCCUUGAGUGGGCGAGAAGUACGCGGAAUGCGUGGUGUAGCGGUGAAAUGCAUAGAUAUCACGCAGAACUCCGAUUGCGAAGGCAGCGUACCGGCGCCCAACUGACGCUGAAGCACGAAGGCGUGGGUAUCGAACAGGAUUAGAUACCCUGGUAGUCCACGCAGUAAACGAUGAAUGCUAGUUGUCCGGGGCGAUUGAGUUCUGGGUGACACAGCGAAAGCGUUAAGCAUUCCACCUGGGGAGUACGCCGGCAACGGUGAAACUCAAAGGAAUUGACGGGGGCCCGCACAAGCGGAGGAACAUGUGGUUUAAUUCGAUGAUACGCGAGGAACCUUACCCGGGCUCAAACGCAGGAGGGAUGUUUUUGAAAGGAGGCAGCCAGCAAUGGUCUCCUGCGAGGUGCUGCAUGGUUGUCGUCAGCUCGUGCCGUGAGGUGUCGGCUUAAGUGCCAUAACGAGCGCAACCCCUACCUACAGUUGCCAUCGCGUGAUGGCGGGCACUCUGUGGGGACUGCCUGCGCAAGCAGUGAGGAAGGCGGGGAUGACGUCAAAUCAGCACGGCCCUUACGUCCGGGGCGACACACGUGUUACAAUGGCAGGUACAGCGGGAAGCCACCCGGCGACGGGGCGCGGAACCCGAAAACCUGUCUCAGUUCGGAUUGGAGUCUGCAACCCGACUCCAUGAAGCUGGAUUCGCUAGUAAUCGCGCAUCAGCCACGGCGCGGUGAAUACGUUCCCGGGCCUUGCACACACCGCCCGUCA